UAGGGAAUCUUCCACAAUGGACGCAAGUCUGAUGGAGCAACGCCGCGUGAGUGAAGAAGGGUUUCGGCUCGUAAAACACUGUUGUAAGAGAAGAAUGACAUUGAGAGUAACUGUUCAAUGUGUGACGGUAUCUUACCAGAAAGGAGCGGCUAAAUACGUGCCAC
rnacentral:rRNA from 1 species